rnacentral:rRNA from 1 species
GAGUAAUAUAUCGGAACGUCGCCCAGUCGGUGGGGGAUAACGUAGACGAAAGUUACGCUAAUACCGCAUACGAUCUAAGGAUGAAAGCGGGGGAUCGCAAGACCUCGCGCGAUUGGAGCGGCCGAUAUCAGAUUAGGUAGUUGGUGGGGUAAAGGCUCACCAAGCCAACGAUCUGUAGCUGGUCUGAGAGGACGACCAGCCACACUGGAACUGAGACACGGUCCAGACUCCUACGGGAGGCAGCAGUGGGGAAUUUUUGGACAAUGGACGCAAGUCUGAUCCAGCCAUUCCGCGUGCAGGAUGAAGGCCCUCGGGUUGUAAACUGCUUUGUACGGAACGAAAAGGUUUCUCUUAAUACGAGGAGCUCAUGACGGUACCGUAAGAAUAAGCACCGGCUAACUACGUG